GAUGAAGAACGCAGCGAAAUGCGAUAAGUAAUGUGAAUUGCAGAAUUCAGUGAAUCAUCGAAUCUUUGAACGCACAUUGCGCCCGCCAGUAUUCUGGCGGGCAUGCCUGUUCGAGCGUCAUUUCAACCCUCAGGCCCCGCCUGGCGUUGGGGAUCGGCGCGGCCCUCUCCGGGCUGUCGGCCCCGAAAACUAGUGGCGGUCUCGCUGUAGUCCUCCUCUGCGCAGUAGCAACGCUCGCACUGGAACUCGGCGCGGCCACGCCGUAAAACACCCCACUUCUGAAAGUUGACCUCGGAUCAGGUAGGAAUACCCGCUGAACUUAAGCAUAUCAAUAAGCGGAGGA
rnacentral:misc_RNA from 1 species